GACGAACGCUGGCGGCGUGCUUAACACAUGCAAGUCGAACGGAAAGGCCCUGCUUUUGUGGGGUGCUCGAGUGGCGAACGGGUGAGUAACACGUGAGUAGCCUGCCCUUGACUUUGGGAUAACUUCAGGAAACUGGGGCUAAUACCGGAUAGGAGCUCCUGCUGCAUGGUGGGGGUUGGAAAGUUUCGGCGGUUGGGGAUGGACUCGCGGCUUAUCAGCUUGUUGGUGGGGUAGUGGCUUACCAAGGCUUUGACGGGUAGCCGGCCUGAGAGGGUGACCGGCCACGUUGGGACUGAGGUACGGCACAGAUUCGUGCGGGAGGCAUCAGUGGGAUAUCUUGCAGAGCGGGCGGAAGCCGGAUGAAGGAAGCCCGCGUGCGGAAUGACGGCCUUCGGUUUGUAGACCGCUUUCGCCUGUGACGAAGCGUGAGUGACGGUAAUGGGUAAAGAAGCACCGGCUAACUACGUG
rnacentral:rRNA from 1 species